AUUAAAUUAUUGUAAUUGCAUUUGCUGAGGGGUGUGGCUCGUCAAGUGAAAGAAUCAAAUUCAAUUACGCGAUGGCACACACCCGAUGGUUUUGGAAAGUACUAUUACUAUCGUCUCCCUUGGAUUGCAAUUCAAACAAAUGGCUGAUUAAAUGAUUAUCCGAACCCUGGGGGUCCCUCAUGCAUCCUCAUCAGACGACAUCCUCAUCAACGUUUGUGCCAAAAUUGCACAGAGCAGAGCAUUGUGUAUGUGUUUGGCCAGGAAAAUUAGAUUCGAGUGUGCAAACAUCCUGGCGGAGGAGAACCAUUUUGCAGGCGCUAAGUUAGCCGGGAUUAUUUUCCCAUAAAUCAGCAUAAAAAAAUCCACAACCAGGCCGACGGCCUAUGCUCCGCAAAAUGGCCAGCACACAAUGGUCACAAAAUGGCAACGCAUAUCCGAAAUGAAGUCAAGCGAAAAUUAGGUCGUUGGGGAGUAAAGGCACCAAAGGGAUCCAAUGGAUCCAAUGGCUCCAAAGGAUCCGGCUAGCCCUUGGGCCAUCCAGCAACCACUUGCUGGCAUUUGUGCCGCUUCCGCUGGCUUACAGUGAAGCUGGGCGGAAACGGAAAUUGAGUCAAGCGUUUCAGUUUGCAGACUGCAAUUUCAUUUAUAAACAAACACAAAACGAAGAACAUUGAUUCGAAUACAGAUACUGGCAACUCGUGCCCCAUUGCCAGUGAGUUGGCCGUCUAUAAAUAGACGCAUUAUUUAUUUAAGCUCAGCAUUUAAUUGGAAAAUCAUGCCCAAUGUCGUCAUUUUGUUAACGAAAAUAAACACUCGAUUCGCCGCGGUCAUGGCAUCCACUAGUUAUUUAUAAGUUUCUCAUAAUUUCUGUAGACAUUUUUCGGCUCCUUGCGACAAAAGCAAUUAAAUAAAUCUCAACAUUUUCACUUUGUCGCUCAAAGAACAUUCGUAGCACAAUGUUGGAGGAAUUAUUUGUUUUGUAUUUAAAAUUUUUCCCCUUUUGCCAAUUAUCGGCUUCUCUAAAUCUAAAUCUUAUAAUAUAAGCCAAAC
ensembl:ncRNA lncRNA:CR45278 long non-coding RNA:CR45278